UGUUUUCUGAUAUUGCUUUUAA
rnacentral:siRNA from 1 species